ensembl:processed_transcript
CUGACGCGUUCAUUCAGCGUCGAGUCUUCAGAGCUGAGAGCUGCUGAAAUCCUCUUUAUUUCAUGUUAAUAGUUCCUGUUUUCCCCUGUUCAUUAUACUGAUGUCUUCAGAUCCACAUAUUGCCAAGUUUUUUGGAGGAUGGUGAGAAGAUGAGUGAUCCAGAACCCUGCAGAAUUAAACAGGAAGAGACUGAAGAACUAAUAGAUGUGAUGGUGAAGGAGGAGAGUGAAGAACUGAGUGAAGAUGAGGAGAAACAUCAU